AAAAAUUUAGUUAAAAAUAUAACAUUAGUUUGUCAAACUAAAAUCAUUUUCAUUUUAAAAAAAGUAAUUUUUA
rnacentral:tRNA from 1 species